UACAGAGGGUGCAAGCGUUGUUCGGAAUUAUUGGGCGUAAAGCGCGUGUAGGCGGCUUUGUGUGUCGGGUGUGAAAGCCCUCGCUUAACCGAGGAAGUGCGCCCGAAACUGCAGAGCUUGAGUGCCGGAGAGGAUAGCGGAACACCCGGUGUAGCGGUGAAAUGCGUAGAUAUCGGGUAGAACACCGGAGGCGAAGGCGGGUAACUGGCCGGACACUGACACUCAGACCCGAAAGCGUGGGGAUCAAACAGG
rnacentral:rRNA from 1 species